UCGAGAAUCAUUCGCAAUGGGCGAAAGCCUGACGAUGCGACGCCGUGUGAGCGAUGAAGGCCUUCGGGUUGUAAAGCUCUUUCGCCUGGGAACAAGAAAGAACGGCUAAUAUCCGUUCAAUUUGAGGGUACCAGGUAAAGAAGCACCGGCUAACUCCGUGCCAGCAGCUGCGGUAAUACGGAGGGUGCAAGCAUUAAUCGGAAUUAUUGGGCGUAAAGGGCGCGUAGGCGGGGAGAUAAGUCAGAUGUGAAAUCCCGGGGCUCAACCUCGGAACAGCAUUUGAAACUAUCUUUCUUGAGGGUAGGAGGAGAAAACGGAAUUCCACAAGUAGCGGUGAAAUGCGUAGAUAUGUGGAAGAACACCGGUGGCGAAGGCGGUUUUCUAUCUUAUUCCUGACGCUGAGGCGCGAAAGCAAGGGGAUCAAACAG
rnacentral:rRNA from 1 species